AAAUAUAAAACAGGCUCAACCGUAGCUAAUGAGGGAAAUUAAGGAUAGUGGUAUAUCCAAGGAGGAG